rnacentral:rRNA from 11 species
UUCUAUGCUAUCUAAGUACCCUAAAGGCACCAGAGUCCACCUGAUCUUGGAAACGAAGCAGGGUCAGCCCUGAUUAGUACUUGGAUAGGAGAUUAUCAAGAAAUUUCAGGAGCUGUAGGCU